AAGGUAAAUCCGCCCAGGGUUAGUCGGGAGCUUAGACGAGGCCGAAGGGCGUAGUCGAUGCACAGCAGGUUAAUAUUCCUGCACCGAUCGUAAAGGUUGAACCAGACAUGCGCCUUAUUGACCAUGAGCCCCCGGCUAGACGUGGGGGUUUCGCAAGAUCGAGCCCGCUUUGUUGGCGAAGUCAUGCAAGAUGGGGCCGAGAAAAGUGUUCUGGGGACGAUACGAUUGUCCGUACUAAAACUGACACAGGUA
rnacentral:rRNA from 1 species